ACCCGCUGAACUUAAGCAUA
rnacentral:rRNA from 1 species